rnacentral:rRNA from 1 species
GACGAACGCUGGCGGCGUGCCUAACACAUGCAAGUCGAACGAGAAGUUCAUUAAUGAUACCUUCGGGUUGAAUUAAUGAAUGGACAGUGGCGGACGGGCGAGUAACGCGUGAGUAACCUGCCCAUAAGUGAGGGAUAGCCCAUGGAAACGUGGAGUAAUACCUCAUAUUGUAUAUUAACUGCAUGGUUGAUAUAUGAAAGAUUUAUCGCUUAUGGAUGGACUCGCGUCUGAUUAGAUAGUUGGUGAGGUAACGGCUCACCAAGUCGACGAUCAGUAGCCGAACUGAGAGGUUGAUCGGCCGCAUUGGGACUGAGACACGGCCCAGACUCCUACGGGAGGCAGCAGUGGGAAUAUUGCGCAAUGGGGGAAACCCUGACGCAGCAACGCCGCGUGCAGGAAGAAGGUCUUCGGAUUGUAAACUGUUGUCGCAAGGGAAGAAGACAGUGACGGUACCUUGUGAGAAAGUCAACGGCUAA